rnacentral:rRNA from 1 species
AGAGCGAACGCUGGCGGCAUGCUUAACACAUGCAAGUCGCACGGGCUGGUUUUGGCCAGUCAGUGGCGGACGGGUGAGUAACGCGUAGGUAUCUGUCCUUGGGUGGGGGAUAACGCCGGGAAACUGGUGCUAAUACCGCAUGAUGACUGAGGUCCAAAGGCGCCAAUGGAAGUUGGAUGUCGCCUGGGGAGGAGCCUGCGUCCGAUUAGCUUGUUGGUGGGGUAAAGGCUUACCAAGGCUUCGAUCGGUAGCUGGUCUGAGAGGAUGAUCAGCCACAUUGGGACUGAGACACGGCCCAAACUCCUACGGGAGGCAGCAGUGGGGAAUAUUGGACAAUGGGCGCAAGCCUGAUCCAGCAAUGCCGCGUGGAUGAAGAAGGUUUUCGGAUUGUAAAGUCCUUUCGGCGGGGACGAUGAUGGACGGUACCCGCAGAAGAACGCCCGGCUAACUUCGCGCCAGCAGCCGCGGUAA